CUACGGGAUGCAGCAGUGGGGAAUAUUGCACAAUGGGCGCAAGCCUGAUGCAGCCAUGCCGCGUGUAUGAAGAAGGCCUUCGGGUUGUAAAGUACUUUCAGCGGGGAGGAAGGGAGUAAAGUUAAUACCUUUGCUCAUUGACGUUACCCGCGGAAGAAGCACCGGCUAACUCCGUGCCAGCAGCCGCGGUAAUACGGAGGGUGCAAGCGUUAAUCGGAAUUACUGGGCGUAAAACGCACGCAGGCGGUUUGUUAAGUCAGAUGUGAAAUCCCCGGGCUCAACCUGGGAACUGCAUCUGAUACUGGCGAGCUUGAGUCUCGUAGAGGGGGGUAGAAUUCCAGGUGUAGCGGUGAAAUGCGUAGAGAUCUGGAGGAAUACCGGUGGCGAAGGCGGCCCCCUGGACGAAGACUGACGCUCAGGUGCGAAAGCGUGGGGAGCAAACAGGAUUAGAUACCCCCGUAGUC
rnacentral:rRNA from 1 species